rnacentral:rRNA from 1 species
GGCGGACGGGUGAGUAACGCGUGAGAAUCUAGCUUCAGGUUGGGGACAACCACUGGAAACGGUGGCUAAUACCGAAUAAGCCGAAAGGUGAAAGAUUAAUUGCCUGGAGAUGAGCUCGCGUCUGAUUAGCUAGUUGGUAGGGUAAAGGCCUACCAAGGCAUCGAUCAGUAGCUGGUCUGAGAGGACGAUCAGCCACACUGGGACUGAGACACGGCCCAGACUCCUACGGGAGGCAGCAGUGGGGAAUUUUCCGCAAUGGGCGAAAGCCUGACGGAGCAAUACCGCGUGAGGGAGGAAGGCUCUUGGGUCGUAAACCUCUUUUCUCAGGGAAGAACAAAAUGACGGUACCUGAGGAAUAAGCAUCGGCUAACUCCGUGCCAGCAGCCGCGGUAAUACGGAGGAUGCAAGCGUUAUCCGGAAUGAUUGGGCGUAAAGCGUCCGCAGGUGGCAGUGUAAGUCUGCUGUCAAAGGUCAGGGCUUAACUCUGAACAGGCAGUGGAAACUACACAGCUAGAGUGCGGUGGGGGCAGAGGGAAUUCCCAGUGUAGCGGUGAAAUGCGUAGAGAUUGGGAAGAACACCGGUGGCGAAAGCGCUCUGCUAGGCCGUAACUGACACUCAUGGACGAAAGCUAGGGGAGCGAAUGGGAUUA